UACAUGGGGUGCAAACGUUGCUCGGAAUUAUUGGGCGUAAAGCGCACGUAGGCGGUUUGUUAAGUCGGAUGUGAAAUCCCUCGGCUCAACUGAGGAAGUGCAUCCGAAACUGGCAGGCUUGAGUACUAAAGAGGGUCGCGGAAUUCCCGGUGUAGAGGUGAAAUUCGUAGAUAUCGGGAGGAACACCGGUGGCGAAGGCGGCUGACUGGGCCAUUACUGACGCUGAGGCGCGAAAGCGUGGGGAGCAAACAGG
rnacentral:rRNA from 1 species